UACGGGGGGGGCAAGCGUUGUUCGGAAUUACUGGGCGUAAAGGGCGCGUAGGCGGCUUUUCAAGUCGGGCGUGAAAUCUCCAGGCUUAACCUGGAAGGGUCGUUCGAUACUGUUAAGCUAGAGUGUGGAAGAGGCUACUGGAAUUCCGUGUGUAGCGGUGAAAUGCGUAGAUAUACGGAGGAACACCUGCGGCGAAGGCGGGUAGCUGGGUAGAUACUGACGCUGAGGUGCGAAAGCGUGGGGAGCAAACAGG
rnacentral:rRNA from 1 species